rnacentral:rRNA from 1 species
UUUAACUGUAAAAUCUUUCUUUACAUAUAAAACGCCAGAGCAAUUACGAGCACAAGCUUAAAACUCAAAGGACUUGACGGUGUCCCAUCUACCUAGAGGAGCCUGUUCUAUAAUCGAUACUCCCCGAUUUACCUCACCACUUUUAGCCAAUCAGCCUGUAUACUUCCGUCGUAAGCUUACCAUAUGAAUGUUAGUGAGCAAAAUGAUUUAUAUAUCUAUACGUCAGGUCAAAGUGCAGCCAACAAAAUGGCAAGAAAUGGGCUACAAUUUCUAAUUUUAGAAUAUACGAAAAACCAUAUGAAAACUGGUCAUGAAGGCGGAUUUAGCAGUAAGAAGAAAACAGAGCGUUCUUCUUAAAUAUGUUCUGGGACGUGUACAACCCNCCC